rnacentral:rRNA from 1 species
UACGAAGGGGGCUAGCGUUGCUCGGAAUCACUGGGCGUAAAGCGCACGUAGGCGGACUUUUAAGUCAGGGGUGAAAUCCUGGAGCUCAACUCCAGAACUGCCUUUGAUACUGGAAGUCUUGAGUCCGGAAGAGGUAAGUGGAACUGCGAGUGUAGAGGUGAAAUUCGUAGAUAUUGGGAAGAACACCGGUGGCGAAGGCGGCGACCUGGUCCGAUACUGACGCUGAGGCGCGAAAGCGUGGGGAGCAAACAGG